rnacentral:rRNA from 1 species
GACGUAGGGCGCGAGCGUUGUCCGGAUUUAUUGGGCGUAAAGAGCUCGUAGGCGGCUUGUCGCGUCGACUGUGAAAUCCCGCGGCUCAACCGCGGGCUUGCAGCCGAUACGGGCAGGCUCGAGUUCGGUAGGGGAGACUGGAAUUCAUGGUGUAGCAGUGAAAUGCGUAGAGAUCAUGAGGAAGACCAGUGGCGAAGGCGGGUCUCUGGACAGUUCCUGACACUGAGACACGAAGGCCAGGGGAGCAAACGGG